rnacentral:rRNA from 1 species
AGCGGCGAGACGGGUGAGUAACACGUGGGUAACCUACCUAUAAGACUGGAAUAACUCCGGGAAACCGGGGCUAAUGCCGGAUAACAUUUAAAACCGCAUGGUUCUAAAGUGAAAGAUGGUUUUGCUAUCACUUAUAAAUGGACCCGCGCCGUAUUAGCUAGUUGGUAAGGUAACGGCUUACCAAGGCAACGAUACGUACCCGACCUGAAAGGGUGAUCGGCCACACUGGAACUGAAACACGGUCCAAACUCCUACGGGAGGCAGCAGUAGGGAAUCUUCCGCAAGGGGCAAAAGCCUGACGGACCACCGCCGCGGGAGUGAUGAAGGUCUUCGGAUCGUAAAACUCUGUUAUUAGGGAAAAACAAAUGUGUAAGUAACUAUGCACGUCUUGACGGUACCUAAUCAGAAAGCCACGGCUAACUACGUGCCAGCAGCCGCGGUAAUACGUAGGUGGCAAGCGUUAUCCGGAAUUAUUGGGCGUAAAGGGCGCGUAGGCGGUUUCUUAAGUCUGAUGUGAAAGCCCACGGCUCAACCGGGGAGGGUCAUUGGAAACUGGGGAACUUGAGUGCAGAAGAGGAAAGUGGAAUUCCAUGUGUAGCGGUGAAAUGCGCAGAGAUAUGGAGGAACACCAGUGGCGAAGGCGACUCUCUGGUCUGUAACUGACGCUGAUGUGCGAAAGCGUGGGGAUCAAACAGGAUUAGAUACCCUGGUAGUCCACGCCGUAAACGAUGAGUGCUAAGUGUUAGGGGGUUUCCGCCCCUUAGUGCUGCAGCUAACGCAUUAAGCACUCCGCCUGGGGAGUACGACCGCAGGAUUGAACUCAAGGAAUUGACGGGGACCCGCACAAGCGGUGA